AUCAAGUAGGUCAGUUAGAACCCGUGUGCCGUUGGUCACAGGAGCAGGGGCCCCGAACCACUUUUCCAUCAUUCUGUUCCUGCUUGGUUUUCAAACCUGGCACGGGCUUUUCCAAGCGCCGAACAAGGGUCAAAUAAGGCUGUCCUCAAACUGGCCCUGCUUGAUGAUCUCCAACGGUCCUCCACCUCCCGAGAGCUGGAGUUAUUAUGGCCCAGUGCCGCCCAGCAGGCAAAUGGACAAGAGGAGCUGGGAGUCAGGGGAGCCUAAAAGCCAAACAAGGGGCCUGCAAACCUGUGGAGAAGCCCUUUGGAACUGGUAGCAGUUGCCUGGGAAGCUACCAGGAGGAGGAGGCUCCAGGAGAAGUCGUCAGUGAGAGGACAGGAUCCACGCUUCAACCGCCUCUGAGGCGGCAUUUUACUGCUAUUUGUUUGUUUGUUUUAUUUGGGUAUUUGUAUGUUUGUUUGUUUGUUUGGUACAGGGGGUUAACUAUCUCAAGGUGAGUUAGAGUUCAUGAAUUUCAUUGUUUAUUUUCAUUCUGAACUUUGUGUUAGGUAAAGCUAUUUAGCUGUUUAUUUCCUGUGUAUUGCAGAAGACACUCUGGACACAAAACAAUGGAGUUGGGUGGGGGAAGGGAUGAGCAGGGAAACGCAAGUCCAAAACUGCUCAGUCCACGGAUUUGAAAGGUACCAGCCAUGGAGGUGAGAAGGCAUCAGAUCCUUUGAAGCUGGAGUUGCAAGCGCUUGUGAGUUGCCUUGCCUGGGUGCUGCAAACCAAACCUGGGUCAUCCGCAAGGGCAGCAAGGGUUCCUAAGCACUGAGCCAUCUCUCCAGCCCAUUUGCUCAGAAGAAUAAAA